UGGGGCGUCGCCAAGUUGGUAAGGCAACGGACUUUGACUCCGUCAUGCGUUGGUUCGAGUCCAGCCGCCCCAGCCA
rnacentral:tRNA from 1 species